rnacentral:rRNA from 1 species
UACGUAGGGUGCAGGCGUUAAUCGGAAUUACUGGGCGUAAAGCGUGCGCAGGCGGUCUUUUAAGUCAGAUGUGAAAUCCCCAGGCUUAACCUGGGAACUGCGUUUGAAACUGAAAGGCUAGAGUGUGGCAGAGGGGGGUGGAAUUCCACGUGUAGCAGUGAAAUGCGUAGAGAUGUGGAGGAACACCGAUGGCGAAGGCAGCCCCCUGGGCUAACACUGACGCUCAUGCACGAAAGCGUGGGGAGCAAACAGG